rnacentral:rRNA from 1 species
CACGUAGGGCGCGAGCGUUGUCCGGAAUUAUUGGGCGUAAAGAGCUCGUAGGCGGCUUGUCGCGUCGACCGUGAAAACCCGCAGCUCAACUGCGGGCUUGCGGUCGAUACGGGCAGGCUCGAGUUCGGUAGGGGAGACUGGAAUUCCUGGUGUAGCGGUGAAAUGCGCAGAUAUCAGGAGGAACACCGGUGGCGAAGGCGGGUCUCUGGGCCGAUACUGACGCUGAGGAGCGAAAGCGUGGGGAGCGAACAGG